UGGCGGACGGGUGAGUAAUGUCUGGGAAACUGCCUGAUGGAGGGGGAUAACUACUGGAAACGGUAGCUAAUACCGCAUAACGUCGCAAGACCAAAGAGGGGGACCUUCGGGCCUCUUGCCAUCGGAUGUGCCCAGAUGGGAUUAGCUAGUAGGUGGGGUAACGGCUCACCUAGGCGACGAUCCCUAGCUGGUCUGAGAGGAUGACCAGCCACACUGGAACUGAGACACGGUCCAGACUCCUACGGAAGGCAGCAG
rnacentral:rRNA from 1 species